UGGGAAUAUUGGACAAUGGGGGCAACCCUGAUCCAGCCAUGCCGCGUGAGUGAUGAAGGCCCUAGGGUUGUAAAGCUCUUUUGCGCGGGAAGAUAAUGACGGUACCGCAAGAAUAAGCCCCGGCUAACUUCGUGCCAGCAGCCGCGGUAAUACGAAGGGGGCUAGCGUUGCUCGGAAUCACUGGGCGUAAAGGGUGCGUAGGCGGGUUUUUAAGUCAGGGGUGAAAUCCUGGAGCUCAACUCCAGAACUGCCUUUGAUACUGAAGAUCUUGAGUCCGGGAGAGGUGAGUGGAACUGCGAGUGUAGAGGUGAAAUUCGUAGAUAUUCGCAAGAACACCAGUGGCGAAGGCGGCUCACUGGCCCGGUACUGACGCUGAGGCACGAAAGCGUGAGGAGCAAACA
rnacentral:rRNA from 1 species